rnacentral:misc_RNA from 1 species
AUAAGCUGAUUUUCAUAAGUUAAGUCAAAUACCCUCUGAAAGUUAAGGAUGCAGCUGAAGUGUUCAUUUUGAUAAAUUAGCAUCUUUGAAAUGCAUUAUCUUGGUCUGGGUAUUACUCCAAGGUCUUGGUCAAUUCUUUUGCAUAUUAUAAUAACUUUUGAACCCUUUCUUUAUUUGUUGGUCUUAUUUUAACUUUUGCACGACAUUGGAGUGCGAGUUAGUAGUUGGGAUGCUGAAUUGAACUAGCCAUAUUACCGACUAAAUACUGACAGUUUUCUAGUAGUUCACCCAUUCUUACGCUACUCUAAUAUAAGCACAUUUAAUUUAACUUAGGAGCUCUGAGGAUCUUGUGCCUCCACAUUUAUCAAAAGCAAUGUUGAUGGUAGAGGCACACCCUAUUUUCUUCUAGGCAUCGUAGAGCUUAGCAUCUCAUGUGUUGCAAACUGUCAUAGGAGCUUUGCAAUGCACCUUUUUUGACACAUUGAUAGGAAGGGUGUUUAGUCCCUAGAGUA